AGCAUAUCAAUAAGCGGAGGAAAAGAAAAUAACAAUGAUUUCCCUAGUAACGGCGAGUGAAGAGGAAAGAGCUCAAAGUUGGAACCUGUUUGGCUUAGCUAAACCGGAUUGUAAACUGUAGAAGUGUUUUCCAGACACGCCUGGUAAAAAAGUCCUUUGGAACAGGGCAUCAUAGAGGGUGAGAAUCCCGUCAUUGGCCAGAGCUGUUGUCUUUUGUGAUACAUUUUCAAAGAGUCAGGUUGUUUGGGAAUGCAGCCUAAAUUGGGUGGUAAAUCUCACCUAAAGCUAAAUAUUUGCGAGAGACCGAUAGCGAACAAGUACCGUGAGGGAAAGAUGAAAAGAACUUUGAAAAGAGAGUUAAACAGUAUGUGAAAUUGUUAAAAGGGAACCGUUUGGAGCCAGACUGGCUUAACUGUAAUCAAUCUAGGCUUUGGCCUGGAUGCACUUGCGGUUUAUGCCGGCCAACGACAGUUUUGUUUGAGGGAAAAAAUUACAUUGAAUGUGGCCCUUCGGGGUGUUAUAGCUUUGUAAAAAAUACCUUGGACUGGACUGAGGAACGCAGUGAAUGCCUUUAGGCAAGAUUGCUGGGUGCUUUCGCUAAUAAAUGCUAGAAUUUCUGCUUCGGGUGGUGCUAGUGUUUAAAGGAGGAACUCGCUUAGUAUAUUUUUUAUUCGCUUAGGUUGUUGGCUUAAUGACUCUAAAUGACCCGUCUGA
rnacentral:rRNA from 1 species